rnacentral:lncRNA from 1 species
UCUGCCGAAGAAUACUACUUCUACAAGCUGUAGUGUUGUCCGAUCAUCUUCUGAUCAAAUGAGUGUGUAGUUACUUUCUUCUAACGCAUAAUUAUGAAGUAUUUUAUACGAAAUACAUGUUAUGUGUAUAAUUUUGUUGUUAUAUGUGUGAAUGUAUAUUCAUUCUCUUCUAUCUCAUAGAUCUGAUUUACUUUCUAUGAAAUACGUGUUAUGUGGGUGUGCCUCAUCUGUUAUGUGGAAUAUGUAUUGAAUGAAAAUGCUAUACAGGUUUUAAACUAUGUAUGAAAAUAUAUAUUUUUAUCUACUAAUAUGUUGGGUAGAACAUGGGUAGAUAGUUGGUGUGUAAUAAACAGAUGAGAGGCCUCGAUGUUGUUGUUGUUGUUGAUGUAGUUAUUCAGCGGAGUAUGGAUAACGACCACAGACUCUUUCUAGACAGUCCUGUGGAACGCUAGCAGGUUCAUAACCUGUAGGUGUUGUGAACGAUGUGUUCACCGGUGUACUCUAUCCCCCUCAUGGUUGCCUUUAGGAUAUCUAUUGUUGAGGAAACCCCUUAGCAGUAAUGUCCGUCCCGAUGAAAAUCCUAGAUUAGGUCCCUUGAGAUAGAUGUUGUUCUAGAGACGUAAAGUGAGGAUAACGGGAAUGGUAAUCGGGUUAUUGUUGAUUGAUGAAAUUAAAUAUAAUUUAUUUAUUGUGGGUUGAAAACCCUAUAUGCUCACCAGGCUCCCAAGCCUGACCCACUCAGUUUCAUUUGUAUUACAGGAAGUGGCGCAAGGGCGUAAGAUGGAUGAAUCAUCGAGUUGUUUUGUUUACAAGUCUGUAUAUGUAUAUAUUUGUUGAAUGACUUGUAAUGUUAUCGUUUAUGCUUUAUGGUCUGUAUCGGAACAUGACAUCCCGAGUUUUGAUUAUAUAAUGAAAAUGCAUCUCUUGAUGAAAUGCUUUGAUAAAUAUUAUUUUAUCAUGUUUUGUUUUGGGAACAAAUUCUGCAACACUUUUAAAUCAAAAGGAUUUACUCUGAAAUUAUUUUAAAAAGCAUAAAUGUAAUCGGUCUUUUCUGGCCGCGAUUUUGGGGAUGUCACACCAUAAUUACCUUAGCCGUUGCAGGUCAACUCAACCUAUUUUUGGCAUUACAUUAAAUGCGAUCCGUAUUCCUAUUCGGGUUUCAUCAUUACGCCUCUGACCCGACCCAUUUCCUUAACCUAUAAAAACCCUAAUCAAACCCCUUUUAACCUUUACACGCACAAUAAAAAACUCAAACCUUCUUUUUCUCUCUACAACUGUGUUCUUCAAAGCUUUAAACCCGCAACAAUGACGUCAUUUCAAUCUCCUUCCAAAGUUUCUCAAACCGCUCACAAAACUGCCAAAUCUGCCCCCAAAAAGAAAUCAUCCAAACGUUCUUCAUCGUCAAUGUCAACUGAACCCUUCCUCAGGGACACUACCCAACUCUUUUCUCUGGACCCAAAUGACUAUGAGGAGUCAAUCCGAGUCAUGAUCGAGUUCAUUACUCAUCAUCCCAUCGUUUUUCCACUCACCAAGAUACCCAACCCACCAAUCCCUUUUGUUCUUCUUCACACAGCCUUUGAGCGAAUCAAGAUUGAAAAGGACGUUCUUGAGACAAAGAUAACUGGAGAUCGAAUUGUACCUAUUCAAAAAUCCACCUUUUUGAAAGCAAUUGGUAUUCUGAAAAACCCAAAAGGCUUCAAGGUUCAAGAACAAUCUGCUGAGGAGUUUUAGUUUUCCUUCAAUCAUAUUGGGUAUGCUUAAGAGUAUAAGGCUAAGAAAUUCAAGAAAUCGGUUGUUUCAUGUCUUUGGACAAUUCUAAUGCAUUUCAUUCUUCGAGGGUAUCGAGGAAACAUGGAGGCACAGACACUCUCAGAAAAGAUUGGCUUUAUGUUUUAUACAACAUCUUCUCUGGGAAAAACAAUGUUGUGGAUCUUACUAAAGUAUUAUGGUAGGACUUUCGGAUGUUUGCCAUCAAUUGCAAGCCUCACAAGAUAUCAAGUCCUUGAUUUUGGGCUCUAACCAUCGAACACCUGGAUAGAGAAUGAAAUGAAACAAUUCUCGUGGAUACAAUUCUGAAAGAGGUAUAUAUCUCCUUUAAAAAUAUCAAGUCUUAUCGCCUUCCGGACCAAACGUCCUUCAAACCCAUUAGGAGAUUGUCGGAACAUAUGCUAGCAAUCUUACCUUCCGAGUCCAUUCAUUUGAAACAUCAUAUGGAGACUUUGAUUAUGUAUAGCACUACACAAUUCACCCCUGUCUCCGUUGAGCUUAUCUCGGACAUGGCCAAAGUUGUUCCAUCAGGUGGUAAGAAGAAGAAAUUUAACAAGAGAAAAACCUCUCCCUAAAAACCAAAAACCAAAAAGAGAACCAAAGUCGGUUCCUCCUCUCAACUGGUAGGAACUAAAGACAUUCCGGCUGACUCUGGCCAUCCUCUGUAACGCCCGUAGAUCCGGGCUAGUCAAUUUAGAGAUAAUAGGGGUCGGAAAUGACUUUUUGGAAAAAGAUUAUUUAAAAUAAAUAAUCUUAACCAAGUUUUAGUAUAUGUUACAAGGUUUCCGUACAUAUAAAGAGUGCCGAAAUCCGAGUUAUAACGAAGAAAUUAUGACCCGUCGAGGUUUCGCGACGGAACCGGCACGACACCGGGAAGUGUAAAUAGUGAAUUUACGAUAGAGUGACUUUUAGCCUUAGCGAUCUAAACAAGAGUCGUAGAAAAUGUUAAACCGAGAGUGUCCAUAAAAAGAACGCCCAAAUCUGACUUCGUAUGAGGAAGUUAUGAUUUUUUUAAGAUUUGGCAUAGCGGUGCAUGGCCCGAAACUCGAAUUUUAGUUCAAGUGGUUUUUGGCUUACGCGACCUAAAUGAGAGUUUAAUAUCUCAUUAAUAGGAACUCAACGACAAAAAGACAGACGAAAAUAGAGUCUGUAUGUUAAAUUUAUGAAUUUUACGAGGACAUUUAACAGUGUAAUCACCUCCUACUGUUAAAUUUAAGAUCGGUCGAGAAUUAGCCGACGGAGUACAAACGAAAGUUGUAGAUUUUAUUUUUACCUACGCGUGGAUAUAAAUAACUUCAAAAACGAAGCUCGUAUGCGAAAGUUAUGGACGAAGCUUAGUCUCUACUUUUCGAGUGCGACAAAUUCGAUAUAGUUUUGUAAAUCCGAGAUAGAUCGAGAAUUAGCCAACGAGAUCUAAGUGAAAGUUAUAGUACUCAUAAAUACCAACGCGUGGAUAUAAAUAUCAACAAAAACGGAGAUCGUAUGCGAAAGUUAUGGACGAAGUUUAGUCUCUACUUUUCGAGCGCGACGAAUUCGAUACAAUUUUUGUAAAUAUGAGAUAGAAGAAGAAUUAGCCGAGGGGUCUAAAUGAAAGUUGUAGUACUCGUAAAUACGAAUGUGCGUAUAUAAAGAACAUAGAAAACGGAGCUCAUAUGCAAAAGAUACGGACGAUGCUUGGAGACUACUUUACUAUAAAAUUUCUAUAAAUAAGAGAUGAACUUUUCAUAAUUUCUUCACACAUAAGCCUCUCUUUCUGUCUCUAACUUCUCUCUAGCCUCCCUAAACCACCCUAAAGUCUAGGUAAACCCCCUAGCACCCAAAGGAAGCCCCGAGGCUCCCGGAGUCCCGAGAAAAGAGCCUUUCGGCUCGGAAACACUACUCCAGCGAAGCCCAAUUUUCGAGAAAACUCGUUGUAAGUGAGCUAUGCCUACCCUAAUCUUUAGUAUAACUUAUGUUUCAAUAUAGUAAAGUUAUUAGGACCUUAUAAGGAGUAUUUGGGCUAUUAUUAUGGGUUAUAUAAGUAUUGUCUAACGCUUAUAUAAUAGUAAUAAUAGCUAGACUAUUAAAUUAGUCUCGUCAAACGUUAGACUAAACUCUAGUGGUAAUGAUACUAGGUUUCGUCAAUGGAUAAUUGUUUUAAGAGUAACGAAAUGCUGUCCGAGUGCCGACUCACCACCUUACCAGGUGAGUGCAUAGUUACUUUCAUCUUACACAUAGAUAUGAAUUAUUUUAUAUAAACUACAUGUUAUGUGUGAAUAUUAUAUAUAUAAUUGCUAUCUAUGAUGGAUGAACGAUUUUAUACAAGUUUUAAAUGAUUUAAAUUGUAUAUGUAUUUUACAUCUACGAUAAUGUUGGGGUAAAACAUGGGUAGAUGUAAUAGAUGGAGUAUGAGUUGGAUGAUGCGUUGAGAGGUGAAAUAGACCGUGAGGUGAGGGUGAGAGGUGGACGAUGUGAGAAGCCUUUUUCCCAAAUGAUGGCCCCGUCAUUCAGCAGAGUAUGGAUGACAACCACGGACUAUUCUAGACAGUCCAGUGGAACACUAGCAGGCUCGCAACCUGUAGGUGUUGUGAACGAUGUAUUCACCGGUGUACUCUAAAAACCCAUUCACAUGUAUUGCGAGUGGAUACUGUCGAUAAAAGAAAUAGCCCCGAUAGCUAUGGAUUUCGUGCCUGUUGAGUAAACCCUGGAAACGAUAGAUUUCGUGCCAAUUCCUUAGGAUGAUCCUUAGGAAUGAAUUAACGAGGAGUAGUUGAUUCUUAAGGUAGACCCUUAAGAGUAAGAAGAUAAUGGGGAUGGGUAAUUGGGUUAACUGUUUGACGAUUAAAUGUAAUAAUUAUAUUAUUGUGGGUUGAAAACCCUAUGUACUCACCAGGUUUCCCAACCUGACCCACUCAGUUUAUUUGUAUCACAGGUGUCGAUAUGAAGUUACAUUACACUGAGAGAUUAAGGAGAUAUAGAUCACUAGUGUAAAUGAAUGUAAGUUCUGUUUAUGCUUAUGUUUUUGUAUUGACGAUGACAUCCCAAAUGUUUUAAAAUAAAUAAAAUAUGUUUCUUCGGAAAUGCUUUAAUAACGUAUUUAUCGUGUUUUUCUGGGAACAAAUUCCGCAACAUUUUUAUUAAAACAGAUACUCUGAUUUUUAUAAAGCAUAAACAAAAUCGGUCUUUUCUGGCCAUGAAAAUUGGGGAUGUCACAUCCUCUUACCCUACUUAGCCACUCUUCUGAAGUACCUUUGGAGUUUCAAUAUCACAAGCACACACACACACACACACGGGGAGUCUCCACAAAAUCCACCCUCACAUUCUCAACAAGGUGUUGUUGGUGUUGAACAAAGUUCCUUGCACCCCCUGGAACAAACCCACGUAUCUCUUUGGAAAUCCUAAUUCUUUCAACACAAGCACGGUCUGAGAUACCUGUCUCGAACCCCAAGCAUUCUGAGGCUCGAGUAGUCCCUCCAACCUCAAGUGCCUCAACUGGUCUGUUACCCGGUAAUGGUACAGGACGACCAGGGGCCAAUGAUCCUUUGUUGGAAGAUUUUAUUGAUAGGGCUCAUACCAGGCAUCCAGAACUCACCAAGCCUCAAGUUAAAGCAACUCUCAUUUCGAUGAGAAACAGAGCUAUUCAAAGCAACUUACCAUUUGUUGCUCCAAUUUAUGACAUAGCUGAUCUCGAGUUUGUCUCUGGAGAAACACAAUACAACAUUAUCUCUGAAAAUCCUCCCAAGACUUAACAUGAUGACGAUUUACACUCCGUUCCAAAUGAAGAACUUUCAUAUGAAGUCAUGUUCGAUGAUGAAGGUGCUUCUAUUGCUGCUCCUCAGCUGUUCUCCUCAUUUCACUUCCCAUCGAAGGCAUCCUUCUCAAGGCCAUUUUUUGACUUUGGACUCUCAUCCACAUUUUCCGAGCCGGUUGAUGAAGAAAUCCAACUCGAUGAUCAAGUCCAAAUGCAUAUCGAAGCUGAAACAGAGUCUACUCCCAAGCAAGUCAAUGCCGAUACAACUCAUCCUGGCCCUUCUGAACAACCAGCCAACCUAGAUGAUGACAAAAACAAGUCGCGGACUUCCACCUCAGACACAGGAUCAUCCGCUGGAAAUUACGUUGAUCCUUUUGCCCUCCUGGAACUCCAAUACAAUAUCUAUGAUACAAUGAAGAAGGUUGAUGCAAUAGAAACUUCUGUGGCCGAACUCAACGCCAAGAUUGAUGAAAAGGUUUUUGGUAUGGAUUCCAAGCUCGAUGCAAUUCUGAACUCCCUGUCCGAAACCAACAAGUCCGGACCCACCACUACUGAAAGGGAAGCCUAGCUUAAUCAGCUUAUCUCUUUUCGCCUCAAGCACACUAUCGAGGAAGUUGAACAUAAGUAUGAUGCCUCUCUCAAUCACUACCUCGACAUAAUCACUAAGAUGCUGAACGUUCAUGAUGAUUUAGUCGAUGCCACAAACGAGCUCAUCAAACAAACUCAUGUUCACCAUGAGAAACAGAUUCAAAGGUUAGAGAAAGAGAUAAGAAAGAAGGAUGAGAUGAACUUGAUCAUCCAACAAGUUCUUAUCAAGCUCCACAGGGCAUGCUGGAACAUCGUGGAUGUUUCGAGCAACAAAUUUGACGAGAUGCUCUCAAUUCUUGCAACCCUCUUCGAUCAUCUAAAAGCUCAAGCUCCCACAAUUGAAGCUUAUGACAUGAAUCAGAGUUUUCAAAAAGUGUUUGACAAAUUCUUAGAUCUUAAAGCUUCUACGUUGCUUACACCGGUUGUAGGGUCCUUCGUUGCAAGAGGGGGAGAAGGACACAUCUGGAGAACUCAACCCUAGAAACCUGUCUCGGAGUUCAGACUCCGAGAUGAAAACUCUGAUGAUUCUUUAAAAAUUCUUUCAGGUUAUCCAAGUGGUGAUGAUAAUGAUGAUGAUGAUAUUUAUGUUACCAAUGUCAUCAUAGGGCUUCCAGUCUCGAAAAGGUUUCCAGCCAAGGUGCUCUCCGAGGAAGAGCAAAGGAUUUGGUCAGCAAUAUCAUGGCCAUCAACUCUGUACGAUGUACUUCAAAGGAGCCGAGAAAUGGAAGAGGUUAAAACCCAACUAACUGUUGAUACCUUCCGAGCCAUCACAUCAAUGCUACCUCCAAUCCCUUCGCCCAAGAUUGCUCCUAUCGAUGAAGGCUCUCCUCUUCGGAAGCCUGAUGAUAUUUCGGAAGAGCCUUUGACUUCCUCCCCUCCAAAAAUUGCUCUAGAUGAAAACUUUCAACACAUCCUCUCCGUCCUCAACAAACAGAAAGACAAGGAAAAGAAGCCCAUCUCGGAAGCUCAUCUAUCUAGAAAUCCCAUGAGAGAAAAAAGUGGUUGGUCACAAGAAGAGAUUAAUCAAGCUCUUGAGGAAAGCAUCAGGAUCCAAGCUCUCAAAGACAAUCCUAAUCCGAUGCUAGGGCUCUCUCCUUUGUGUUGGGAAGGGAUCAUACACGAUCUGGAUAUAGUACCAUUUGUGUACUAUGAUCUUCCUAACCAUGAUUCAGACCAAAUUGAUCUGCCUUUCUCUCUCUCUCUCUCUCUCUCUCUCUCCUUAUAGCAAUUUCUACACAAAGUUCGCUCCUCUCCACCUAGAAGAUGAUCCACAGUUAAUCAUCCGGACUGAACGUGAAAGAUUGAAGAAUUUUUACUCCAAGAAUGUACUUCCCCCAAAAGAAGUGUGCUCUCAGAAAAGGAUCACCAAGAUCUCUAGGUUUGGAAGGAAAAUCUUGACCAAGUUCGAACUCAAUUGUGUGCCGUUAUGAUACCACAUCUUCUGGAACAAACCAACUCAAUGCACUAUCUCUGGCGCCAGCUUCCCUGCAAUCAACCCAAAUGACAUCUUGACCAUUGUUGCACAUUUCCGAACUCAUCAAGUUGAUGAUCUUAGCAUGCGAGCUUACCACGCUACUUUGAGCUUCCUCAAAUAUUAUGUAGUUGAAUUCUGCCGGUGCGACUUUAAACUGGCUCAUCUGUUCGGAACUGAGAAGUACUUAGCAAAGAUUGACUUCAAGCUGCCAGAAGCUGAGAUAUCGGUAGAGGGACCAAUUGACGAACCAGUGUUAGGGUUCGUGUAUCUUCAAAGGAAAACCAACAAGUUCUUCCGAGUCCUUGAUAAACAUCUAGUUCCCACCAAGGCGCUUAUGAAGUUCAUCAAUCGUGCAUCAAAGUACGAGGCACCAGAACAUGCAAAGGCCAAGUUUAAAAGUCAGCUGCAGUGGUACAUUGAAGUCAGAGAUUGGCUAUAUCGGGCGUAUAUGUUCAUCAAAGAAGAAUCAAACUAAUCUCACAAGAUUGCUAAGUUCACUUAGGGGGAGAUUGUUGGAACCUGAAAGUGAACCUCUAGCAAUCUCUAACCCUUGGAGUUCCAAAGUCAUUUUUCUGUCUGAAGUAAGUUGUGGUACGAAAUAAGCUUGUGGUACGAAAUAAGCUUGUGGUUAGAGAUGGAAGAUGAAGUAUGAAGUGAUGUUCGUUUUUCGAAGUGAAGAAGUCUUCCAAGAUAGUUUGUCAAUCUAUGCAUUUAUUAUUCUUGUCUUUUACUUUAUGUAACCUUACAUAGCACUUAGUCUUUUUGUCAAAUGGGAUAAUCAGAGUGUCAGAAGUAACUUGUUUAUCCAUUCCUUUGUAUGCAUUUCGGUCUGUAUGAUGUACCUCCUUUUCCUAUAUAAGGAGUGAUUUAAUGAAAAGAAUAGUAGACAAGUUGUUCUUCCAAAGAUAGCAUAUUUUCACUUUAACUCACUUUCACUUUUCUCUCAAAUCAAACUCUUUCAAACAUUCUUUGUGUUUAUUUAUUGUCUUUACUUUGAUUAUACUCAUAGUUCCAUAUUUAAUACUUGAAGUACUUUGUUGAUUCACAUCUUCAGUCUUGACUGGUCUUACCAGACUUGACUGGAACACUUAAUCAGAAACAGACAUUGAUCUUAAGCAUUAACUCAAGGUUUAAGUUUUCAAACCUUGUCCCUGCGCAGUCAGAUCCUUGUUCUCACAAAAGUAAGCUGGGCAAAAAUGAUAUUUUUAUGUUUAAGAAGGAUAUAUACGAAAUUCAUUAUUACAGGGAAAUAAAUAAGCAGUUAUUUAUUUGUUUUAUUAAUAUUUUUCAUUAAUUAGUUAUAGUUAAUUAUUAAGAGUUAAUAAUAAGGUUUUUGGGCUUUAUUUAAUACUCAAUGGAGGCUUUUUAAAAAAAUGUCAUAGUUGCCCAAAUAAAUAAAGGCUUUGAUAACUCAUUUGAGUAAUCAAACAAGAAACUAUUAAAACCUUAACAACUUUCCUUAGAGUCUAACUUUAUAUGCCCAUAGGCUCUUCCCUAUCUUAGUGAUGUGUUUAAGAAGCAAAUAAAGGAGUGAAUGUUUGAUUUAGUUGGUUGUAAAGUACUUGUUUUUUCUGUGUAGAUCAACCAUUGAGGAUUAUGUCGUGGUAAUCUACCAUCAAUCUAAGGUAAAAUUAUAAACAUACUAUAGGUUGAAUACAUGUUGGUUGAUGUUAUUUUAAAUGGAUCCAUAGCUUUGGGAUUGAUCAUAAAGUUUUAAUAUGUUAAUGUUUUUUCUGUUUGUAUUUUGGUGUAUAUGUUUGUACAUCAAUCCCCAACAUGUAGGUAAGUUUAGUGAAGUUCCAAAUUCCACAAAGAGAAUUGGUUUAUGUUGAAAUUUUUUUGCAAACAAUUUAUCGCGUAGGGGAGCUAGCAUAUAUUCCUCUAAGCUACACUCUUUUACUUGGUUAAAUAAAUGAGGGGUCCAAGAUGAGUAUGUUGGAUUGGUAUUUACUAUGAGAAGUUCCCAUGGAUAUAUUUCCUUACAUUUAAAGUUUGGUUUGGAGAAGAAAUGGCCAUACAUCGUUUGAUCUUGCUAAAAUAAUUAAUUACCAACUAUGGCACAAUUUCUUUUAGAAAUUAUCGCUCUUAGUUCCUUCAAGGGUUUCUUAAGGUGGUGUAGUUUUUAUGGCGUGAUCAAGGUGUUGUUAGGUAUAGUUAUAUGGCUACAUUUAAGAAAAAACUAAAUAAUAUCUAAACUACAAUCUUAGAUCUUGGUUUUCACAUACAAAAAAUUCAAGGAGUUAAAAAAAUGAUUGGUGUUUAUUCCAUCAAUGAUUUAUAUGCAAUGAUCAUAUUAAGAUAACCGAUCCUAUUUUUUGUUCUUGACACAUAUAUCCUUUUAUAUAGGAUCAAGUUGGUAGAUGGUGACAACUUGAUAUUUUAGAUUUUGUUUCACUCAAAGAUUGGAUUACUUGGAUGGAUCAUGUAUUACAAAAGAUAAAUUAAUGAAAUGAACUCAUAAAAAUGAUAUUGCAUAUCAAAUUACAUCUUUUACCUACCUUCUAGACAAGUGGCAUAUAACAUAACUAGCAAAAUUGACGAACUAUCAAACUAUUUACAAAAUGAACCAUCUACUUAAAUAAAUACAAAUAACCCCCUUAUAUCUAACUCUAACAUUUCCCUUCAAGAUGGAGCUGAAGAAUAAAGAUUCUUCAGACCCAUCUUGCCGAGAAAAGGAACAAGCUUUGAAUUAGGUAGAGGUUUAGUGAACAUGUUUGCAAGUUGUAAAUCUGAUCGAAUUGGUAAAAGUUUGAUAGUCUUGUUAUCCACAUUUUCUGUUACAAAAUGACAAUCAACCUCUAUAUGGUUUGUUCUCUCAUGAAAAGUAAUGUUUGUGGCAAUUUGAAUAGUGGAAUCAUUGUCACAAAAGAGCAAUGUAGAAUCAUUUGUGUGAAUAUCAAAAUCUUUCAAAAGUUGUUGAAGCCAAAUCAACUCGGUAGUAGUAAUAGCCAUGGCUCUAUAUUCUGCUUCCGCAAAUGAUCCAGAGACAGUUGGCUACUUUUUAGACUUCGAUGACAUAAGAGAAUUAACUACGAAUAUGCAAAAUCCCAUUACCGACCCUCUUGUGUCUAAGCACUUUGUCCAAUCAGAAUCACAAAAUCCUUUAAUUUGAAAAGAAGAAUCUUUAGAAAAGAAUACACCUUGCCAUGGUGAUUGCUUUAAAUAUUUCAAUAGAUGACAUGUAGCUGUAAAAUGAAGAACACAUGGACUAGACAUAAAUUGGGACAGUUUUUGUACUACAAAUGAAAUAUCAAACCUAGUGAUAUUCAAAUAGAUCAGCCUCCCAAUCAAUCUUCUAUAUUGUGAUGGAUCUUGAAAUUCCUCACCAAUAGAGUCAAAUAAGUUUGUUCUAGGAUCCAUAGGAGUAUUGGUUGGUUUUGCAGCUAUAAAGCAUGCAUCUUCAAUAAGUUGUAAUGCAUAAUUUCUUUGUGGGACGAAAAUACCCUUAUCAGAUUUUGCAAUCUCAAAUCCCAAAAAGUAACCCAAUGAACCCAAGUCCUUUAACUUGAAUUGUUGACUGAAUUUUUGUUUGUAAAAAUUGAUUCCUUCCUUGUGUGACCAUGUAAUGAUGAUGUUAUCGACAUACACCAAAAAGGCAACAUACUUAUCUCCAUUUCCUUUGUGAAAGAAGGAAUAAUCAGACUGGAAUUGAGUAAAAUCCAAAACAAGCAUGAAUUUUAAAAAUUUAUCAAACUAUUGUCUGGAAUCAUGUUUAAGACCAUAUAUAGAUUUAUACAAUUUGCAAACAAUUUUUCAUCUAGAAGGUUGCCCUUGAAUAUCAAGACUAGGGGGUAUAUCCAUAAAGACUUCUUCAUUCAAAUCACCAUUUAAGAAAACAUUGUUGACAUCUAGUUGGACCAUAUCCGAUUUCUUGAUUGUUGUUAUAGCCAAAAUCAUUUUAACAGUCACCAGUUCUUCUAUAUGUGAAUAAGUCUAAAAAAACCAAUUCCUUCCUUUUGAUUAAAUCCUUUAGUAAUAAGUUUAGCCUUAUGUUUUUCUAUAGCCCCAUUACUGCCAUAUUAGAUCUUAUAUACCCAUCUACAUCCACUGUAUUAUUUUGUGGUGGUAGAGGUACAAUAGUCCAAGUAUUAUUUUCUUUCCUUGCAUCUAACUCAGACUACAUAUCUUUUCACCAUUCUUCAUAUUUUGAAGCAUCUUUAUAGUAUUUGGGUUUAAAAUGAGAAUAAAUAUUCAUGGAAAAAACUUUGAGUUUGGCUGAAACAUUCUCAUAAGAUAAAUACUUGUGUAUGGAAUAAAGAGAUUUAGAUGUACAAGAAGUAUGAACAAUAUUACAAUUGUAAUCUCUCAAUCAGGAAGGUGGAUUGUGAGAUCUAACAGGUCUAGAUUUGGAUGGAUUUGGUUGAGGAGGUUGAAUAAUAGGAUUAGAAUUAUCAUAAUUGUCAUCUUGGGACAAAUUAGGGACAUGGGUAGAAAUGUCAAUAUUUUGCGGGAUAGGUAAAACUAUUUGAGAAAAAGGAUCAAUAGGAUAAAAAUGAGUAGAAUCAUGAAAUAGCAAGAUCAAUUCAUGGAAAACAACAUCUCUUUAAUAAAAGAUUUGUUUGAUUUCCAAAUCAAAUGGUUUUUCAGCUUUCAUAUUGGGAGGAUAACAAAGAAAAAUAGUAGCUUUGGCUCCUGGAUCAAAGUUUGUCCCAUGAGAGGGUUAAGGUAGAAGCACAGGCUAAACAACCAAAAGUUUCAAGUGUUUAUAAUUUGGUAAAAUACCAUGUAAAAUAUAGAAUGGAGUUUUAUUAUCAAGAACAUGCGAUGGAAUCCAAUUUAUCAAAUAAGCAACUAUAAGAAUGCAAUCUCCCCAGAAAAAUAUAGGAAAUUUGGACUGGAACAUUAAAGAUCAGGCCAUAUUUAGAAGGUGUUGAUGCUUUCUUUCAACAACUGAAUUUUGUUAUGGCUUACCAACACAAGACUUUGGUGAAUAAUUCCUUUAUCUGCAAAAAAAAUUCCUUAAAAUCCAAUUAUUUUGCACUACUAGUCCUAAAAGCCUUUAUAACAUUAUAGGAUUGAGUUUGAACAUAUGCAUAGAAUUUGGAAUCAUAAGUUGAAUAUCUGAAUUGAGUUUCAAUAAGUAAAUCCAAGUAUAUAUAUUCUUAUCAUCCAUAAUUGUUGCAAAGAAUCUAUGGCCAACAUUAGUAAAAUAUUGACAAGGAUCCCAAAUGCCAGAAUGCAUUAAUGAAAAAGUUUCAUCACACAUGUUGUUGAAGGAAUCAAAUGGUUGUUUUUGCUUAGCAAAAGGACAAACAGAACAAUGUUGAGAACAACUGUUGAGCAAUAGAAAUGCCUAAAAUGCUCUUAAUAGGAAUAAGAACUUUAUUUAAAGGGUGUCAUGAUCUUUUAUGCCACAAAUCAACUAAAAUUGCAUUAAUCCUUGCAUUGUGUAAUUCUUUCUUAAUUGGAUUGCUCGUCACAUACAAAUCUUGCAUAUUAUCAGCUUUUCCAGUCAUCCUCGUGUGGUGGAUAUCCUGGAUAUAAGCAUGAUGACAUGUAAAUUGAACAAUGAGGUGAUGUGUUUUGGUGAGAGCACUGACAGAUAUGAGAUUGAGAUCAAAAUCGGGAACAUAGAGAACAUUUCUCAAUGUGAACAAAUAGUCAAUCUUAAUAUCUCCAAUCAUAUGAACAGGUAAAGUGACCUUGUUUGGAAGAGUGACAUUGUGAUGAUAAACCUUUCAUUUGUUGAUGAACAUGUUGAUGUCAUGACAUACAUGUUGAGAAGCACCAGAAUCUAAAAUCCAUAUGUAUGACUUUAAACCAUUGUUAAUAAUUAAAGAAUAUCAUUUACUUGUGGUAGUAGUAUCAUUGGGAUUAACAAAGAUCAUAUGAUUAGACAAAGCAGACAUAACUUGCUGACAUUGAGAUGGAGAGAAACCACGAAACAUGUUGCUUAAAUCAUCAUUAACAGAAGAAGAAUAAAUAUGAUCCGAAAUGAUUUGGUCAUUAGAAACAGCAACAUUGAUAUGAUUAGUUCAUGGUUUUGGUUUAUAACAUGGUGGAUAGCCAUGUAAUUUGUAACACUUCUCAAUCAUGUGUCCCUGAAACUUGUAAUGAGAACAAAACGGUCUCUCAUUGUUGCUAUAACUUUGAUUGUUGAAUCGCUUGACUUGAUUGUUGUUGUUGUUGCUAGAACUCUUGUUGUUCGAAUUUGAUUUGGCCAAAAAAGCAAUAGAAUACGCAUUACAGCUAUCAUCUGAGAUCAUCUUUUGUUUUUCUUCUUGAGCAACAAGUGAAUAGACUCGAUUAACAGCUGGAAGAGGAUCCAUAACGAAGAUAUGACCUCGAGUUUGAUAAAAUGUCUCAUUAAGUCCCAUCAAGAAGUUCAUAAUAUGUUUUUCUUGAAAAUACUUUUCAAUCUUCUAAACUCCUGUACAUGUACAUUUUUGACAUGAACAUCUUGGACGAAAAUUAUCCAAUUCUUCAGUAAGAGAUUUUAGCUUAGUGAAAUAAACGCCAAUUGGAUCAUGAUUUUGACUAAGAUUCACAAUCACUCUGCGAAUAUGAAAAAUUCUUGGUCCAUUGCUUUGCUGAUAUCGAACUUUGAGAUUUUCCCAUAUGUCCUUAACAGAUUCAGAAAACAUGAUACUCAUGAAAAUUUCCUUUGAAACUGAAUUGAGAAUCAAUGAAAUGACGACUUUAUUGUUUCUCGUCCAUGGAUUAUGAUUAACAACAUCAAUAAAAGCAAGCUUUGGAAUAGAUCCAUCUAUGAAUCAAAUUUUAUUUUUGACAGAAAGAGCAAUCAACAUCUAUCGACUCCAUGAAGAAUAAUUCUCACCAUUUAAUAGCUGAGAAACUAGGAUAAAACCAAGAUUAUCAGAAUGAUGGAUGAAGUAAUGAGAAGAACGAUCAUCAAGAGGAUAAACAACUCGAUUCGAUGCAGGUGGAUCCAUGGAAAACAAAAACACAAGAAAUAGAGUAAGAAUUCAAUGAAGAAUUUGCGAGAAAAAUCAUGAAAGCGAACUUCAAUUCUCUGAUACCUUAUUACGAAAGAGAAAUGAAUGAAAUGAACUCAUCAAAAUCAUAUUGCAUAAUAGAUUACAUCUUAUACCUACCAUCUAGACAUGUAGCGUAUAACAAAACGAACUAUCAAACUAUUUACAAAAUGAACCCUCUACUUUAAAUAAAUACAAAUAACCCCCUUAUUUUUAACUCUAACAUCAUGUGAAGUUGAAUGCUACUUAAAAAAUGUUUGAUACUCUCAUUGUUACAUGUUUUCGGGUUCUUUAAAACAUUCAAAAUUCUACGAUUUUUGGAAGUCAUACAAAAAAAAUGAUAUUAUUCGAUCCCAAUGUGUCACAAUCUUACCUUUUUCUUUUAGUAGAAGCAUUUAAAUGUACGACGGAUUGGAUUGGCCGGCUUUACAACCACUCUUUGUACUUUGUUCUUUAUAGUAUAUAUUUUUGUCUAAUUUCUCGGUAGCUAAUAAAAUUUAAGAAAAUUCAUGAAAUGACCAAAAAAUAGGGAGUGUUUUAAGGAAUUAACCAUGAAAUUUUGAGUUUUGGAAAAUGACACCCUCUGCGGAUCCCUUUAAUCCUCUGAGGAACGAUGCAUAGUGCUAUGAAAAUGACGUGGCACCACUAAAUGACAAAAAAUUUAUGGUUCCUCAGAGGAUUAUAGCGAUUUGCAGAUGUGUACAAUGGAUCUGCGGAACCAUUAUAGCCACAUAAUUUUUUUGUCAUUUAGUGGUGCCACGUCAUUUCUGUAGUACUGUGCAUCGUUCCUAAAAGGAUUAAAGGGAUCCGCAAAGCCCCUAUGCGGAUCUCAUGGUCAUUUUCCAAAACUCAAAAUUUAAUGGUUAACUCUUUAAAACACCCCCUAACUUUUGGUUAUUUUAUGAAUUUUCGCAUUAAAUUUUGUUACAUUUCAAAAAAAAAAUCACAUUUGGUAAGUUUUGUAAAAAUUGGCAUAACUUCUCUUAAGAGGAAUUAGGAAGUCAUGAUUCUUGAUGUGAGGUGAUGUAUCGUGAAAUCAUGUCUAAAUAAAUGUUAAUAACAAAAAAUAAGUUUGCAAAAAGAGUAAAAUUUGAAUUUUACGUAUUUUACAGAAAAUGAUUUUGUAAGUUACAUACGAUUAUUUCAUCUCAUCAAUUGUAAUAUAAAAUAUCUUAAACAAUCAAUGACAUCCAUACAAAGACAAUAUCACUUUAAAAUCCAAAUUGACCUCCAUCAUGAAGUCAAACAUCGCUACAUUUAACAUUACUCAAAAUGCCUACAAUAUAUAAUAUCCUUGUUGCAAAUUAUUAACUAAAAAAGAUUCAUCAAUCUCACUUAUAACAUUCUUAAACAAAAAACAUGAAACACACUAAAUUCAAAAAUUCCCAUUCUAUUUCCUGAGUGCAUUCAUCUUGUCCCUCAGAUAAUAAAGCUUGGCUCUCCUCACUUUCUUCUUGUCCAAAACCUUUAUUUCUUUCACAUUCGGCGAAUAUCUGUCAUCAUAUUUUACUAAUUUUUUAAUAACAGCAACAUAAUUUACUCUUUUACCCUUAUUAGCAAUAUAUACUUACAGAGGUAGAAGAGAUUCAACCCCAACUCCUGCAACAAGUCUUCUUAAUCUGAUUGUUGAAUUUAGACCUGCAUUGCGUCUUGCUAUCACAAUUCCUUUCACUGUUGACACACGUCUCUUGUUCUCAGGUACCUCCUGUAAAUUUCAUGGAUUUUAAUAUUUUAUCAAUAAUAUAUAAAAAUUCAAUUUCAAGUUUAAUAUAUUAGCAAAAAUAAAAAUAAACAUACCAAUUUGAGCUGGAUUAUAUAGCCUGGCCUUAUAUCAGGUAUCUCUCUUUGUGUGUUCACUUCCUUCACUGCUUCUUUAUCAAGUAUCUGCAAGUGAAGUACAUGUUUGAAAUGAGGAUAAAAUGGUCUUUUCACAGAAGGGUAAGUAUGGAAAUAAGAAAAAGCAAGAUUUCUUGAAUUUCCUACCUGCAUAAUGUGUCUGGCUGUUUUAUCGAGUCUCUUGAAUUUGACACGAGGUGCAACCUCAGUGGCAGUGGCAGCUUCAUCUUGUGGGUCAGAUUUUUGUGAAUCAUUCAGUGUUGCAAUGCCCCUGUUAGUAAAAUGGUGCACUAGCCUGGACUCUAUUGAGGGUAUAUUGGUACUUUUGCAUGAAGCUAGUAAAUCUCUCCCGUAAUUUUUUGUCUAGAAAUAUUCACAAGUCAAAACAUUAUAGUCAUAAAUUCAAAAAAGAAAUCAUAAACAGGGUUCACAAGAAACGAUGAUUUUAAUCUAAGAUUGUAAAAGUCCUCUGAAAGAUAACUUUAAUCUACAAUGUGUAUAUUAUAUAGAUGCAGAAACAGAUUUUAACGUGGUAUAACCGUAUAACUAAUCUAGCAUCAUCAAGUACCUAAUUUAUGCUCACUUAAUAAACAAUCUAGUACCAAAACUAGACUACAAAAUCAAAUAAAUCAUUGGCGAUAGUCAUAACAUAAGGAAAGUCGCUUAUACUACUAGACCAACACAGUGUGAUCUUUAUUUACAAUGAUAACAGAACUAGAUGAAAACACCAUUUUUACUCAAUCCUGAAUCUACAAUGUAUUAAGUAGAUAAAGCUUUUUAUCAAAAUAGAACAUAUACUUUGCUCGGAAAUCUGCAUUUGAGCUAAAUUCUACGCGAUUUGGUAACGCAGGGCAUCUAUUACCCCUCCAAAAAAAAACAACCUAAUCAUCAAACUUUCGAGUUCCACUACAUAAUACCUGAAAAUUUCCUAUAACUAUACCAUGAACUGGAAAAUGAUUAUCUUUGAAUCAACAGAAAGUAAAAGAAAGAAAAAUUACCGAAAAAUGUGAAGGAAGUAACCGUGAAACAAGGAGUAGAUCAUUAGGUUGAGACAAACAAACCCUAGACAACGGCGAAUCAAAACUACGCGAGCACUUAAUGACGUUCUUUGUGAGCGAUGUAAUUCUCCCACAGAACGAUUGCAUCUCUUCUGAUCAGUUUCUGCAAACCCUAUCGAAUGCGACCGGCGUUUUUUCCAAACAAGAUGCAAAACCCUCCUCGGACCUUGAAAAUGGAGGUUUAUGAUCCGAGCGUUAUUUGACCAAAGUGCCCCUAGCCAUUCUUUGGUACAUUAUUUUAGAUUUAAAGUUAAAAUAAUUUAAUAACUUAAAUUAUUUUGGUUUAUUUUUUUGUUUUUUUUAAAUCGUUUUAUCCUAAACUUAAUCCUCAAAAUUUAAUUUUAGGACGUGGAAUGUACCAAAAUCUAAGGUGUAUUUGUUCAUAAAUUUCAAAAGACAGAAAACAUUUGAAUCGUGAGUUUUAUUAAAAGUUAUGUUUGGUUAACAAAAUUAAAUGAAUUUGAAUUCUUUAAAUUUCAUUUUAUUUUCAAAAGGAAUUAUCAUUUUUUUUUUCUAAAAACAAAGAUUUUAGAUUUAUUUUUUUUAUGUUUUAUUAUAAUAACAAAAAUAUUCAUCAAAUCAAAACAUAUUAUCAUCAUCUCUUUUUACACCCUAUCAAAUACUCACACACACUCAUCCUUACCCUACAUACCCCAUGCACAUGCAUACACCCUCACCUAACAAUAUGCACACAUGUGCACGCCCAUGUUAACGUCAACAAGCUCACACCGAUAUACCACAUCAACACCCACCAUAACCACCCUUGCAGUGACACCACCCACCCCUACCCUAUAUUCCCACCCACGCCUUAACCUAAACCCCCUCCUACACAACCCCCUCUCCUCACCCUACCCAAAUACCCACCCCCAUCAUCCUACCCCUACCCUUACAACCACCUCACCCUAACACCCACACUCACUUAUACCCCAUCACCCCAUACAAACACCUACACGCACUCAUACGCUUACACCAUCAAACCUUCGUCAACGAUCCUGACACCGACCCCAUCCAUACACCUAUACCCAUGCCUACACACUCGCACAUAAGUUUGAACAAGUAAGAGUUUAAUAAAUUAAAGUUUUAUCAUUUAAAAAAUAUAUAAUAGGUUAUAAAAAUCAAUAAAAUAGUAUUUUGGUAAUACUAGAUAAGUUACAUUCCAAUUCCUUUGACAAAUCUACAAAUCAAAUAGAAAAAUAGAUUUUGUUUAAUGUCAACCAAACACAUAUGACAUAACAAAUUUCAAUUAUCUUAACAGGUUUCGUUCUUUCCAAAAACAUUUUGUGAACCAAAUGCCCUUAAAAGUAAAAGAUGAAUCUACUUAUGCACAAAAGACUCGUAUAAAGAUAAGAAUAAGAAAAGGAUAUAAAGUUAAUUUGACCUAAGUUUUGUAUUUUUAGGUGACCAUUAAGUUCUCUAACCACUCUAGAAAUGAAAGUGAUGUGUGGAAGGAGAAUCUAUAAUUACUAAGGUGAGUCUUUACCAAGAAUACAUGUCUUUAUCAUAUUUUUCACGUAUUAAUGUUUUUAUAUAUAUAGUUUUUAUGAUAUUUUAAUGGUUACCUACAUAACUAACUUGUUUUUUACGAUUACAACAAACAUUUUCGUAAUUAAGUGUAACAUCCCAAAAAUCAAGGCAAAUUUUUCAUUUUAAAAACCAUCCAAAAAUUCAUAAGUUUUACAAAAAAAAAAGUUCCCAAAAAUCAUUGUCAUGAAUCAGAAUAUCCCAAAAUCAUCAAAAAACAUAAAAUCUUGGAUGAUGCGCACGAUCAAGCCUUCGCCUUUCCCCUAUCCUCUAAAGUACCUGAAACUAUAAUAAUCAAACUAUAAGCCAAAGCUUAUUGAUUUUCCCUAAAAUAUCACCACACAACAUAUAACAACAUGCAUAUUGGGUCCACAACCAUUGGACUAGGUUACCCAUGAGCCCAUAGCACAAGUCUAGUUUGCCCACCUGGCCCACAGCUCAUGUCUGGAUUGUUCCCGAGUCCACAACAUAAGUCUGGCUUGUCUUUCCGACCCACAAAUUAUGUCUAGUUUGCUCCCAUGUUUUUUGGAUUCCGCAAAGAGCAAUAUUGCCUUUACCUAACCGCAUUAUGUCGAUAUAUAUAACAGAUUAAACACAUAACAACAAACAGACAAUCAUGUCGAUCUAACAGAUCAAUACAGCAUAACAACAUCCUAUACUAGGAUACAUAUUCUAGUGGGUAGGCAUUGGUGCCUUUGACCCGCAAGUACAGUGAGGAAAACUCACCUCAUAGUCUGAAAAAUAGUUGAAUAGAUCACUGCUCCAAAUGUUGUUUCAACCAGUCACCUAUACAAUAAAUAGGGAUCUAAUCUCAAACUACUAUUAAAAUUACCCAAAAUGCCCUUAAGUCAAACUUGGUCAAAUCCAUGGUCAAAGGUCAAAGUCAAAAGUCAAAGAGUCAACACAGGUUAAGUACGCCCUACAUACUCAAUCAUUACGUAUGGCGUAGUGAAGUCCUUUCCUGCUUACGGGGCCUUCAUCUAGUACACGUUGCGCACCACAAGGUACGCCCUGCGUACUUGACCAACUCUCACUCUCUUUAAUAAUUGCUCAUUCCGUUAAGUCCUCACAUCCAGAACUCAGAUCUAGUCCCAAAUAACCUCCCGAAUGAUAAAGUUUCCAACUUUAUGACUUUGCAUGACUAGAAGUGCUCAAAAUCCAAACCAUAACUUUAUACCCAAAACCCAAGCUUCAUAACUCUUACAUGGAUGGGAGAAAGGGACCAAGAUCACAUUUUUAUGACCACAAACACUCAAAAACAUCUGAAAGGGCAGCUCAUUUGGUCUAGAGUAAGCCAAACUCACAUAUACCAAGUUUAUGGGACCAAAAGGCACAAAAACUCAAGAACCAGCAAGAUCUAAUGAAGUAUUCAUCAAGUUCAAAACUUUAUACCUUCUGGAGGUUGCUAGAGAGAUGAAGUUUCCAGAUCCACAAAGCUUGAUACUCUUCAAAUGCUCUCCAACGGACUCCUUCCUAGGGUUUUUGUUCCAAGAGUAAAAAUGAGACAACAAAAAGAUGAUGAUAGAAUGGAGAAGGAUCUCGAAAUAUGAAGGGAAACUUACCAAAAAGUUUUGCAAAACACUUGCCAAAAGGCCUUAAACCAACUAGAGUGUUCUUGGAGAGUUUAGAGAGAAUGAGAGUGAGAUUGAAGAUGAAAUGGUGGGGUGGGAGGCCUCUUGGCCGAAUUUAUAGAAGGAGAGGCAGAGAGAAGAGUGGUGGUGGUUUGCAUGGGGAAGUAGCACAUGUAUUCUUUUGAGUUUUGAAUAUAAAACUUAGGCUUAGGGCUUUUAGAAUAUUAAAUUCAAGGUAUGGUUUCUUUAAUAUAAAAUAGAAGAAUAUCAUGAUUAUGUUGGAUAUUAAGAUAUGGUUGGAAAAAGAGGAGACAUGCUUUGUCUUUUUAUGGUUUUUUAUAAAAACCUAGUCCUUUUUAUAAAAAAUUGGCAUUUUGAUAAAACUGUGGUGAGAUUUCAGUCAUUUAUAAUGUUUAAUAACCAAUAAAAAAAUAAUGUUAUUUAAUAUUAUUAACAAUAAUAUUAAAAUGAAAACAACCCAAAAAUACACGCCAAAAAUAUCGUUUGAGAACAUUACUAAAACCAUAAUAUCCAAAUAUCAUAUAAGAAAAACAUAAGUUGUGUGUCUCAAAAUUUCAUAAAAUAUGUCUCUCAUCAACUGCUGUCAAAAUCAUAUCAAAAUAUCAGAGUCUAAUUCCCACGCUAAAACUGUGGUAUGUGCCAUGCCAUCAACCCGAGCCCUUCCCCUUGCUAGCUGUAGUACCUGAAACCAAAACUGAAACUGUAAGCACGAAGCUUAGUGAGAUCCCCCAAACUACUACAUAUCAUGCAAUAACAAAUAAAGCACAUACUGGGCCUUGCCCAUUGCACCGGACCGAAGUCCGGAAUUGACUAGGGCCUCGCCCUCUGCAUCGGACCGGAGUCCAGAACUGACUUGGGCCUUACCCACUACAUCGAACCGAAGUCCGGAACUAACUAGGGCCUUGCCCUCUGCAUCAGACCGAAGUCCGAAACUGACUUGGGCCUUACCCACUGCAUCAGACCGAAGUCUGGAACUAAAUGAACAUAGCAUAACAUAAUCAUAACAUACAACAAUAACACAUAUACUUCAUAUUGCAUCGGACCACAGCCCGAAACAAAUAACACAUAGACAUGCCCGAAUCACAAAGACAUUAAGCAUACUGAACUGCUGCUAUCUAAACGGACCGACAUUGUGGCCGUAGACCCAUUCCUACUAGAAGGAAACUCACCUCGUAAGGCUGACUGCUGAAAUGCUGAUCGGGAACUGUCUGACUGCUACUCCGGUAACUCCCCGGCUACAAUUCCCAUAAAGACACUUAAUUAAACACUGAUAACAAUCCUAGGGUAAAAUGACUAUUUUACCCAUGGUCUAAGUCAACUUCUACUUGUCCCGACUCACCGAGUUGGGCCGCCAACUCGCCGAGUCCUUAUCCUUUCUUCUGCCUCCUUACCCGGUUCUACUCGUCGAGCUUAGCAAAGACCCGACGAGUUCUCCUUCUAUAAUUUCUCAAGUCAAUCUUCAUCCGACUAGCCGAGUUGUAUGAACAACUCGUCGAGUUUGUUCUUGUGGGUAAGGAGAUUGCCUUGGACUCGCCAAGUGUGUUCUAACACUCGUCGAGUCCCAUGAUUUCCAGAUUGUGGCUAUAUCUCAGUAUGUCAAAUCACUCCUCUGGACUCAUCUAAAUGCUUGCUAUCACUCAACUGGGUCCCUUUGAACCACAACAGAUUGGGGACUGAAGCCUCGGACUCGCUGAGUUCCAAGAACAACUCGUCGAGUCGCCUAUUGUCCAAGUCUAUAAUCUCGAUUUCUGGCGUACAAAUCUUAUCCAAAAGGUAGAUCUGGGCUUCUAAGAUCGGUCUAGCACAUAAAGUUAUGAACUUUACGUGCAUGCAUGGAAGUAUAAGCGUUAAGGACCCAAAAUGAGGUCUAAAAGGGUGCAUGGGCUAAUAUGGCCAUAAAGCUUGCAUCUUUAUGCCAUGAACUCGGUUCUAGAAUCUAGAUCUAAAGGUGAAUCGACUUGGGACGUCCAAGUCUUAAGGAUCAAGCUUAUUGACCCCAAAACUCCAUAAAGGGGCAAAUGAGAAAAUCUAUAAAAUCACAAGUCAAGUUUUGUGCUUGAUUACCUGAAAGUGAAGAGAAACUGAUGUUGCUCCUGGAUCUAGUCCUUUUCCCUUGAUCCUUCUUCCUUCCAACUUUUCUACUAGAUACACAAUGCACCAAAACCCUUCAAGUCACUAAGAAAGCUCAAGGUUGCCAAAAAGGGAAUUAGGGUUUCGAAAGAAAUGCUCUGGAGGUGAUGGAGGCUGGAAUUGAAGCUCAUAAUGUUGCUUAAAUAGGGUGCAAACCCUUUAAUUAGGGUUUCAUCCAGACCGGCCUACUCUUCGAGUCCAAGCACAGACUCGACGAGUAGAUUACUUAAACCCGCAUCCCAACCUCGCAUCUACUCGACGAGUUAGGCUGCCACUCGUCGAGUCACUAAUACAAAUGAUAUAAAAGUAGAUCAAUUACGUACCAGAAACGGGGUGUUACAAUUCUCCCCCACUUAUCUUAGACUUUGUCCUCGAAGUCUAUUGUCUCUGUAAACAACUCUGGGUAGUGUUCUCUCAUCUCCUCCUCUGGCUCCCACGUCCACUCCGAGUCCUUGCGGUGCUGCCACUGCACCUUUACUAGCUAAACCACCUUGUUCCUCAAGGUCUUUGUCUUCUGAUCCAAGAUCGCAAUGGGUCUCUCGAUGUAAUUCAAGUUGCCUUCAACCUGAAUACCCUCCAAUGGUACAACUGCCGACUCAUGCACUAAGCACUUCCGCAGCUGAGAAACGUGGAAUGUGUUGUGGAUCUAGUUGAGCUCUGUCGGAAGAUCUAACCGAUACACAACCCGACCCACCCGGGCCAAAACCCAAAAGGGACCAAUGAAUCUGGGGCCCAACUUGCCCCUCUUCCGAAAUCAGAUGACACCCUUCCAGGGUGACACCUUCAGGAGGACCAUAUCGCCCACCUGGAACUCCAAGUCCAAGCGCCGCUUAUCGGUAUAACUCUUAUGCCGACUCUGCGCAGUCUGAAGCCUGCUACGGACCUGCUGUAUCAACUUUGUGGUCUUGAGUACUACCUCCGUACUCCCCAUGACUCUCUGACCGACCUCACCCCAACAGACUGGGGUCCUACACUUCCUCCCAUAAAGCAUCUCAAAAGGAGGACGGUCAAUACUGGCGUGACAACUAUUGUUAUAUGAAAAUUCCGCUAAUGGAAGAUAUGUAUCCCAACUGCCACCUGUAACACAUGUGUUUCUGGGCUUGUCAUUAAUGUUGAUAUAAUAGUCUAGGUUAACAUUUGUAACCUGUUUUGAAAUAAUAGAAGUGUAUUAUUUGAGUAUUAUGUGUUUUGUGCUUAAUUGCUUAACUAUAUGAUUUGAUUAAUUAAGAAUAAAAAUAAGCGUCAAAAUUUAAGUGUAAAAUAAACUCGAUAUCUUUACAUAAAGUUGUAAUGGCCGAAACGAGGUUUCCGAAUAUAUAUAGAACGCCCAAAUCUGACUUCGUAUGAGGAAGUUAUGAUUUUCUGAAGUUUCGACUUAGCGGUAUGCAGUCCGAAUACUCGAUUUGAGAUCGAGUGGUUUUUAGCCGAAACAAUCUAAACGAGAAUCGAAGAUCUCGUUGUUAAUAGCGAAACGAUGAAAAGUUAGGCGAGAACGGACGCUGGACGAAGAAGUUAUGAAUUUAUAACGAAGUUUUCCUGUCCGGGCCUACUAAAAAUAAAUAAUAAAAAUAAAUAAUAAAAAUAAAAGUCAAAAUUAGCCGACGAAGUCUAAACGAAAGUUGUAGAGCGUAGUCUCACCUACGCGUGGAUAUAAAGAACGUCGAAAACGGAGUUCGUAUGAAGAAGUUAUGAAUUUCCGAAGUUUAUUAAUCAUUUUGUAUUUAAAUUUAAAUCAAAAUUCGGAAGCAUUAUCCGAAGGAGUCACCGAUCUGAUCCGAGGUACGCCCCGCGUACUCGAGUACGCCCAGCGUACUCCGAGGGAUGUCGACACUCGCACUCGAGCACUUCGGAUACGUAAGCAAUGACGUUUUGGGCAGUACGCCCCGCGUAACGCAGUACGCCCCGCGUACUCCGAGGCUCCAGCCUCCUAUAAAUAGGAUGCGAGGGUUCCGAGAAUAUUUGCUCAGUUCCUCUCUUUUUCGUGCCGAAGCUCUGCGUGUAAACCCACGAAGCCAUCCCGACACCCCAGAUCUUAUAUCCAAGUUAAGAAGGAAGUUUUGCGCUCCCGAGAUCCCGAGAGGUGCGAUUCCCGAGCCGAAGCUUUGCCCGCGAGGAGUUUGAUUUUUUUGUGAAGAUCUUCCAGAUCUACGGAGAAACAAUACUUCUGCACGUCGUAGUGUUGUCUGAUCAUCUUCUGAUCAAGUGAGUGUGUAGUUACUUUCUUCAAUACAAUAAUACGAAGUAUUUUAUAUAAAAAUACGUGCUAUGUGUAUAUAUUUGGUUGUGUUAUGUGUGAAUGAGUAUUCACUCUCUUCUAUCUUAUAGAUCUGCUUAUUUCUUUAUGAGAUAUGUGUUAUGUGUGUGUGCCUCAUCUGUUAUGUGACAUAUGUGUUGAUUAAAGCAUGCUAUACAGGUUUUCUUUAAACUAUGUAUGAAAAUAUAUAUUUUUAUCUACUAAUAUGUUGGGUAGAACAUGGGUAGAUAGUUGGUGUGUAAUAAACAGAUGAGAGGCCUCGAUGUUGUUGUUGUUGAUCUAGUUAUUCAGCGGAGUAUGGAUAACGACCACAGAAUCUUUCUAGAUAGUCCUGUGGAACGCUAGCAGGUUCAUAACCUGUAGAUGUUGUGAACGAUGUGUUCACCGGUGUACUCUAUCCCCCUCAUGGUUGCCUUUAGAUAUCUAUUGUUGAGGAAACUCCUUAGCAGUAAUGUCCGUCCCGAUGAAAAUCCUAGAUUAGGUCCCUUGAGAUAAUGUUGUUUUAGGGACGUAAAGUGAGGAUAACGGGAAUGGGUAAUCAGGUUAUUGUUGGUUGGUGAAAUUAAAUAUAAUUAUUUAUGCUUUAUGGUCUGUACCGGAACAUGACAUCCUGAGUUUUGAUUAUAUAAUGAAAAUGCAUCUCUUGAUGAAAUGCUUUGAUAAAUAUUAUUUUAUCAUGUUUU